rnacentral:rRNA from 1 species
CAGUAGCCACGGUAAUACCGAGGAUGCAAGCGUUAUCCGGAAUUAUUGGGCGUAAAGGGCUCGCAGGCGGUUUCUUAAGUCUGAUGUGAAAGCCCCCGGCUCAACCGGGGAGGGUCAUUGGAAACUGGGAAACUUGAGUGCAGAAGAGGAGAGUGGAAUUCCACGUGUAGCGGUGAAAUGCGUAGAGAUGUGGAGGAACACCAGCGGCGAAGGCGACUCUCUGGUCUGUAACUGACGCUGAGGAGCGAAAGCGUGGGGAGCGGACAGGAUUAGAUACCCCUGUAGUCCCUGUCUCUUAUAC